GCGUGUGCGUGUCAGCUGCUCUAGCAUGUCAGCUGCGUGGCGUGUCCGUUUUUAUUUUGGUUCCCAUGUUAACAGGAUAGAGCUUACACACUGUCUCGAAGCAUUUCGAGGCAAAAUAGAAUAGGAAAAGGUGUCUAGUCAUUUUGACACAAAUACAUAUCAAUAAAUUACAUGUUUCCAGGUUUGUGAAGUCUCUAGGUUUUAACAUCAAUGCAGAUAUAAAUGUAA